rnacentral:rRNA from 1 species
UACGGAGGGGGCUAGCGUUGUUCGGAAAUACUGGGCGUAAAGCGCACGUAGGCGGCGCAGCAAGUCAGGGGUGAAAUCCCGGGGCUCAACCUCGGAACUGCCCUUGAAACUGCAGUGCUAGAAUCUUGGAGAGGCGAGUGGAAUUCCGAGUGUAGAGGUGAAAUUCGUAGAUAUUCGGAAGAACACCAGUGGCGAAGGCGACUCGCUGGACAAGUAUUGACGCUGAGGUGCGAAAGCGUGGGGAGCAAACAGG